GAUGAACGCUGGCGGCGUGCUUAACACAUGCAAGUCGAACGGUGAAGCAGAGCUUGCUCUGUGGAUCAGUGGCGAACGGGUGAGUAACACGUGAGCAACCUGCCCCUGACUCUGGGAUAAGCGCUGGAAACGGCGUCUAAUACUGGAUAUGAGCUGCGACCGCAUGGUCAGCAGUUGGAAAGAUUUUUCGGUCUGGGAUGGGCUCACGGCCUAUCAGCUUGUUGGUGAGGUAAUGGCUCACCAAGGCGUCGACGGGUAGCCGGCCUGAGAGGGUGACCGGCCACACUGGGACUGAGACACGGCCCAGACUCCUACGGGAGGCAGCAGUGGGGAAUAUUGCACAAUGGGCGAAAGCCUGAUGCAGCAACGCCGCGUGAGGGAUGACGGCCUUUGGGUUGUAAACCUCUUUUAGCAGGGAAGAAGCGAAAGUGACGGUACCUGCAGAAAAAGCGCCGGCUAACUACGUG
rnacentral:rRNA from 1 species